rnacentral:rRNA from 1 species
UUGUGUGAAUACAUAGCACAUUCGAGGUAGACGCAGAGAACUGAAACAUCUAAGUACCUGCAGGAAGAGAAAGAAAAUUCGAUUCCCUGAGUAGCGGCGAGCGAAACGGGAAAAGCCCAAACCAGCAAGCUUGCUUGUUGGGGUUGUAGGACUCCAAUAUGGUAGUUCUUUCAGAUAGUCGAAUGACUUGGAAAAGUCAGUCAAAGAGGGUAAAAACCCCGUAGACGAAAUGUGGAAGACACCUAGGAGGAUCCUGAGUACGGCGGAACACGAGAAAUUCCGUCGGAAUCCGGGAGGACCAUCUCCCAAGGCUAAAUACUCCCUAGUGACCGAUAGUGAACCAGUACCGUGAGGGAAAGGUGAAAAGCACCCCGGAAGGGGAGUGAAAUAGAACCUGAAACCGUGUGCCUACAACAAGUCAAAGCCCGUUAAUGGGUGAUGGCGUGCCUUUUGUAGAAUGAACCGGCGAGUUACGAUUGCAUGCGAGGUUAAGUUGAAGAGACGGAGCCGCAGCGAAAGCGAGUCUGAAUAGGGCGUUUGAGUAUGUAGUCGUAGACCCGAAACCAUGUGAUCUACCCAUGUCCAGGUUGAAGGUGCGGUAAAACGCACUGGAGGACCGAACCCACGUACGUUGAAAAGUGCGGGGAUGAGGUGUGGGUAGCGGAGAAAUUCCAAACGAACUUGGAGAUAGCUGGUUCUCUCCGAAAUAGCUUUAGGGCUAGCCUCGGAAUU